rnacentral:rRNA from 1 species
UACGUAGGGGGCGAGCGUUGUCCGGAUUUAUUGGGCGUAAAGAGCGUGUAGGCGGCUUGGUAGGUCCGCUGUGAAAACUCGGGGCUCAACCCCGAGAGGUCGGUGGAAACCAUCUGGCUAGAGUCCGGAAGAGGAGAGUGGAAUUCCUGGUGUAGCGGUGAAAUGCGUAGAUAUCAGGAGGAACACCGGUGGUGUAGACGGCUUUCUGGACCGUAACUGACGCUGAGACACGAAAGCGUGGGUAGCAAACAGG